rnacentral:lncRNA from 1 species
CAAAGCUGACUGCAGAGACACAUGGCUUCUGCCAAUGCCAGAGGAACAGCAUAUCUCAAAAAUCAAGAUGAAUCCUUAAGCUUUCUACCCAGAUGUUGUGGGAACUUGAAGACAAAGUCUCAAAGAGACUCCGUUUUGGUCAACAAUUAGCCCUUCCACAUUUGGAUCCUGGGCCACAUGUGGAAAUAAAGAGUUCCAGAAGAAUUCUCCCAUGAAGGCAUUGGAAUGCUUCAAUACAUAGUUUUGUGCCAAAUCUACAAUAAUCUUCCCAAAAGAAAGACUCUUCAGUGUUCUGGAUUUUUCGGGACUUAUCUUAUUUUCUUGUGCAACAUCUUAACACAAACUAGAAUAAAGAUGACAUAUAAUCAUCUGCAUUCAUGAAUAAAAAGAAUGAUCUAAUUGUACUAAUUAGCCAAACUGCAACCCACAAAAAUGCACCAAGUCUUUAUCAACAUCCAC